GGGGAGACCAAUAAUGUAUACAAAGAGCAUUUCCAGGUAAGAGUGUUCCUUGUUCGGUGAAAAAACAAAAAACAAAAAACAAAAAACAAAACAACACAAAACAACACAAAACACAAAACACAAAACACAAAACACAAAACACAAAACACAAAACACAAAACACAAAACACAAAACACAAAACACAAAACACAAAACACAAAACACAAAACAAAACAAAACAAAACAAAACAAAAACCCAAGGUAUUUCAGCCUGUGAGACACUGUAUCUUUGGGGAAAGAGCCAUAUUAUAUGUAGAUCAAAGUAUUGCCUAAGGGUAUUCAGCACUUGGAUCCUCCCCUUGACUCUGAGUGACCUUCUUUUUUUUCCUGUCUUCGGGUAUGAACAAGAUUUCCACCCUCACAGCACCUCACUCUCCCAGGCACAACAGUUAGUAAUGAGUUGAGAUCCUUGGUAUCUAUCUUAGAUUCAGUCCUACCAAAAGACCUUGACAUAAAGAGUGAUGUGAAAGUGAUUUAUUAGGAAAUGUGUCCCCCCAAGAAGAUGUAGAUAGAAGACGAGGAGGUGAGACAAUUUGAUUCUGAGUUACACAAGGGUAUAGUGGGAGGGACUAUCCUGUAAAGGGAAUCUUGAUGGGAGUCAUCCCACCCACCCGGGGUUCAAAUGCUCACUGGCUAUACUUUAUUGCAGCAGCUGGAUUCCAAGUGAAAUCAGACAAAAGAAAAAGAACAUGGGGAUGGGGCUAAAAAGAGAGCUCAUAUGCUUUUAAUACCAAUCUCCCAGAGGAGUCCCACAGGAUACAUUUAAUUUCUACAGUAUAGAAAUUUUGACAAACUAUGAAUGUUGCCAAACACUAGAUGUACAGGGUUCAGUGAUAUAUAUAUAUAUAUAAAAUUGAUCACUGUGAUAUAUAUAUUAAGUAUAUAUAUAUAAGCCUGGGGCCAGUCAUGUCAUUAGUCUUUGCCCAGCACAUACCCAAAUUUCAAGUGCCCUAAGGAAAGCAGGUAUUCAUCACCAAACAUAUUAUUUGUUCUGAAGAAUUAGGCACAGUAACUUUUAUCAGAUGGAUAAUUUGUUGAUGUUCACAUUCUCAAAUGCCAACCUAAGUAGGGUCAACCAACCUUGAAUAUUCCUCCCUACAGCUUCCAAUUUCUUCCAACUAUGUUGAUUCUUUGCUGAACCGAUACUUUGGGCUCAUUUCCCAUAGGAAAGUUCUGAAUGCAGUGCAGGCUACUUUUGAACAAGGCAGCUAAGAGUUUAUUCCCUUACCUGUCUGCCAUUGUUUAGAGGACACAUGCUGUGAACAGAUUUCCAGGCACUCUUAGACAUCUGUAAGUAUAAGUGUUGGUUCCAACUGCCUGAGGGCAUGUCCUCUGACAAAGAGAUGGAGGUGCUGAUUGCAGUGAGUGACAGCUCACACUGAGAGGCAGGCCUAGAAGAUAGACCUGAGCCUGAGGGGAUAUAGGUGAAGGACUGACAACAUCUGCUACUCUUACCCACCCUGGGAUGGAAUAUCCACAACCAAAAAUACAGAGGACCCUUUCUUGAGAAGAAAGGAGUGUGGCAGAGUGUGAGCUUCCAGCUAUGUGGAGUCAUAUUCUCUACCAUAAGUGAAGGAGCUUUCCACAUUGGCUGAAGAUAUCUGGACACAUAGGAAAGUCAGCAGAAGACAGAUUUCAAUAAACCACAUGCAAACACUACCUGUUGGCACUGCUUCAGGUUCUCCAUGAAGCCACCAGCCCUGCCCCAGCCUUUGCUUUCAGUCACUGUGAUUGCCCUCCUUUUCUUCUUGUGUAUUUCUUAUCUGCUGGUUUAAUUUAGCUUCCUGACUUGCAACUACUUGACAAAGGCCUUGACUCUGUAAAAUAGAUUGUGUUUCUAAUGUAAUAAACACACUUGAUCAUCGGAACCUG
rnacentral:lncRNA from 1 species